GGGAUGUUGUACAGCUCACGCUCCCACAAAGCUUUGCAGGAGACCAUACAAUGAAAUUUGGUGCGUUUUUUUACAUUUCGGCGCCAUUUUCGAUUGGACCCGAGCAACAUUUCAGUAACCCAGCACAAGAGACCACCAGAUCUGAAGGGAAUGUACUAUAGCAGCACAUAAAUACUGGAGGUGAAUGUGGUGUUAUCCAGUAUUACUGUUCUGCUGUAGUACGACCUGUCAGCACUUACAGACUCCAAAGAGCCACAGCAGAUCCUUUCCCCAGAGCUCAACAUACCCAUGCAUUUAUGUGAUGGAAAAACACUACCUGUUUGUACUGUAGAUGAACAAUGCCAUGAAAUAAAAUAAGCAGUGAUCAAAAUGA